UGCAUUGGCCGGGAAUCGAACCCGGGCCGCCCGCGUGGCAGGCGAGCAUUCUACCACUAAGCCACCGAUGG
rnacentral:tRNA from 1 species